rnacentral:rRNA from 1 species
GAUGAACGCUGGCGGCGUGCCUAAUACAUGCAAGUAGAACGCUGAAGGAGGAGCUUGCUUCUCUGGAUGAGUUGCGAACGGGUGAGUAACGCGUAGGUAACCUGCCUGGUAGCGGGGGAUAACUAUUGGAAACGAUAGCUAAUACCGCAUAAGAGCAGUUGUUGCAUGACAGCUGUUUAAAAGGUGCAAUUGCACCACUACCAGAUGGACCUGCGUUGUAUUAGCUAGUUGGUGAGGUAACGGCUCACCAAGGCGACGAUACAUAGCCGACCUGAGAGGGUGAUCGGCCACACUGGGACUGAGACACGGCCCAGACUCCUACGGGAGGCAGCAGUAGGGAAUCUUCGGCAAUGGGGGCAACCCUGACCGAGCAACGCCGCGUGAGUGAAGAAGGUUUUCGGAUCGUAAAGCUCUGUUGUAAGAGAAGAACGGGUGUGAGAGUGGAAAGUUCACACUGUGACGGUAUCUUACCAGAAAGGGACGGCUAACUACGUGCCAGCAGCCGCGGUAAUACGUAGGUCCCGAGCGUUAUCCGGAUUUAUUGGGCGUAAAGCGAGCGCAGGCGGUUAGAUAAGUCUGAAGUUAAAGGCUGUGGCUUAACCAUAGUACGCUUUGGAAACUGUUUAACUUGAGUGCAAGAGGGGAGAGUGGAAUUCCACGUGUAGCGGUGAAAUGCGUAGAUAUAUGGAGGAACACCGGUGGCGAAAGCGGCUCUCUGGCUUGUAACUGACGCUGAGGCUCGAAAGCGUGGGGAGCAAACAGG